rnacentral:rRNA from 1 species
GACGAACGCUGGCGGCGUGCCUAAUACAUGCAAGUGGGACGCAAGGAAACACACUGUGCUUGCACACCGUGUUUUCUUGAGUCGCGAACGGGUGAGUAACGCGUAGGUAACCUGCCUAUUAGCGGGGGAUAACUAUUGGAAACGAUAGCUAAUACCGCAUAAUAUUAAUUAUUGCAUGAUAAUUGAUUGAAAGAUGCAAGCGCAUCACUAGUAGAUGGACCUGCGUUGUAUUAGCUAGUUGGUAAGGUAAGAGCUUACCAAGGCGACGAUACAUAGCCGAACUGAGAGGGUGAGUGGCCACACUGGGACGGAGACACGGCCCAGACUCCUACGGGAGGCAGCAGUAGGGAAUCUUCGGCAAUGGACGAAAGUCUGACCGAGCAACGCCGAGUGAGUGAAGAAGGGUGUCGGAUCGUAAAGCUCUGUUGUAAGUCAAGAACGUGUGUGAGAGUGGAAAGUUCACACAGUGACGGUAGCUUACCAGAAAGGGACGGCUAACUACGUG